GUUUUAAUAAUUUAAAUAAAAUAUUGGUCUUGUAAAUCAAAAAUAAGGUAUCUUUUAAAACU
rnacentral:tRNA from 1 species